GAACAUAGUGUUUCCCAACGAGAGCCAACGAGAACCCCCCACCAGGCCAAAAAAAUGUAUUUAAAUGCCAAAAAUAACGCCAUUUGAUUCUGAGCAGCGCUGUGCUGAAACGUUCAACUGACCUCAACUCUUGGAUUGGGUGAUGUGGCUCUGCUAAUGAAUGCCUGGGCCUGACUGUCAGCUAGAAAAAGCCAUCCCAUCCCUCAUCACACUGCAUCAGAUCUAACUGUCUGUCAGGGUCUGCUGCAUCUCCUAGGCAACUGGGAGCUCCUCGAUGGCAAACACAGUCAAGAUAUCCAUCUGUGAUUCACUGAUAGAGGAUCGACUUCCCACUACCAGCAUCUCCAAAUCCACCAGGCGGUUUUUAAGCCCCACUCAGCUGACCAGAAAGUCAGACCUCCAUGAAAACAUAUCACCUGGUGAGAAAAGAUGGGCUGGGCUCCAAAAGAACAAAAACGGCCUGCACUGAAAACCUCUCAAUCAAUAAUGUUCCCAACGUUUUCAUUACCUCACCCCUCAGUUUGGCACCAGGACAGAUUCAGUGGCCCAGGAAGUAGAUUAAAACAUUUCUGUGGCCAUUUCUGAGAUUUAAUUUGUUUGAUAAAAAUAUGACUGAUUUAUGUUAUAGCCUGUCCUGUCCUAUGUCUGAAGUUUUCAUACACAGACAACAUUCAAACACUGACUGUUCUCUGUACAAUUAGCAGUUUUUUGUGCUUAAUUUUUCAGCACAAAAUGGUGAAAAGGGUGGCUUUCUAU